UGGGGAAGUGCGACCUGCGGCGGGUGGCGCGUGAACAUUCUGGCAAGCGGGGCUGCUGUGGGCUGCUGGGACGUUGUCGCGAGGUCAAGCGGCGGAGGGCGGCUAACGGCCUUUUGGCUAGCUUCUGCUUUUCUCCAGGUCCGGAAUGGAUCUCUCGCCCGCAAAGUUUGAGGAAGAGCAAAAAGAAUGUUGCUGCCAGUUGUAGAAAUUUACGUCAACUUAUUAACUAGUUAGGAACAUCUUGACUUGGAACAAAAGCUGCGUGAGAACAGAAACCUGGUUUGUCUCGUUCACAGCCACCCCAGAGCCUAGAACAGCACCUGCAACACAGUCCGCACUAACAGUAACUACAGAAUGAACCAGUGGACCUUGUCUCAGGGCCUUCCUACGAGACACGGAUGUUAUUAUAAAAAAAAGGCUAUGGACAAACAACCCAUGGAUUGUUCCCCUUUCUGAGGAUAUCAGAGGAAAUUGCUCAAAAGCCCUUGCCUUUGGCCUACCAAUUUCAAUCAGACCUCCCCACACCCACCCAGCACUUUAUUACUCUCUUUCUUCUUUGUUUUCCUUCAGCAUUUUCAGAAUGGUUUGCAGCUUAUUUGUAUUUGUUUAUUUCAAGUCUGAAUCGUGAGCUCCAGAAGGCAGGGACUGUGUCUGUUUUAUGUAGAGACAAUAUCUACAGCCUACGCUAUGAUGUGGGCUUCACGAUAUUGACUAAAAUUCACCUUGAAUUUUAUGAGCCAGAACUACCCUGAAGUCAUAGGAGAAAUGACUGAUGACUUGGGGACUGUGGAUAUCAGGCUAGUUGGGUGAUGAGCUAUUUUCGAGGGUAGGCAGCUACCCCAACACCCUGAAAUCAUAGCCCAUGGGGCGUGCUGCUCACAGACAGACCAGGGAUCGCUGCUGUUCCCCAGGCUGUCUGCAGCAGGAAGGAGCAAGAAGACAGUUAAGUUCACGUUCAUCUUGUAAUUUGAAGGUUCAGAUUAGUUUAUGAGCCAUGGCUGGUGUGGCUCAGAGGACUUUCAGCCUGUGAACUGAAAGUCUGCUGGUUCGAUUCGCAGUCAGGGCACAUGCCUGGCUUGUGGGCCAGGUCCCCAUUUGGGGGCGUGUGAGAGGCAACUGCUGGAUGUAUCACUCACACGUCCGUGUUUCCCUCCCUCCCUUUCUCUCUCCCUUCUUCUCUCUCUAAAAAUAAAUAAAAUCUUUUUAAAA